AAAGGGAAAAUGGUUGAAUCUGGUGGAAUACAGUUACAAUGUCAAAUAUCACCAAAUGAAAUGCUGACAUUACAGAAUGCAUGGUUUUAUACUGUAAAGGCAGUGAGAUAAAAACAUGUGGUUUUAAUGGAAGUCAAUGAGGCAUUUUUGCCACGAAGGUGUCCAGAGGGAGUAUCUGGCACUACGUAAAAAAUACUAAUGCAAUCAAAUUAAUUUUGUUGCUAAUCUUUGACAUAUCCAAGACUCUAAUCCCCACCAAAGCCCCAUCUCCAUAUUAUUCAUUAUAUGGAAAAAAAAAACAUUUUUUGUGGGUUUUUAAAAAAAAAAAAAUAAUGAAAUACUUCAAAUAAAUAAACUGGUAUUUAAAGGGUUAAAAUCCUGAAAAUGAUUGAAUGUUUGGUAGUUUUGAACAAGUUAGAAGUUGUUUAAGUGAUUUAUGAAAAAAAAACUGGAAAAAAAAUAUUGAUAUAUGAUGAUUUAAUAGCAGUUUUUGUGUGCGUGUACAUUUUUGCCACGAAGGUGUCCAGAGGGUACAAAAUGAAUCAAUCAAGUAUAAAAAAACAUGUAAGAGUAAAAAACACUGGAUUUAAAAAUUCUGACCAAAAAGAAAGGUUCUGACAAAAUGUCAUGCCAUAAGCAGUAACACAGCAAAAAAUAUCACAAAAUG